GUUUUAAUAGUUUAUUUAAAAUAUUGGUCUUGUAAACCAAAGAUAAAAGCAUCUUUUAAAACU
rnacentral:tRNA from 1 species